ACGAAGGUCCCGAGCGUUGUUCGGAAUCACUGGGCGUAAAGGGAGCGUAGGCGGUUUGGUAAGUCAGAUGUGAAAUCCCGGGGCUCAACCCCGGAACUGCAUCCGAUACUGCCAGACUUGAGUAAUGGAGGGGUAACUGGAAUUCUCGGUGUAGCAGUGAAAUGCGUAGAUAUCGAGAGGAACACUCGUGGCGAAGGCGAGUUACUGGACAUUUACUGACGCUGAGGCUCGAAGGCCAGGGUAGCGAAAGGG
rnacentral:rRNA from 1 species